ensembl:lncRNA
GUAAUUGAAAAGGGAGGUUGGACUGCUGCAACCUCUAGGUCAUGAUUGCCCUGGAAAGGAGGAUUCAAAUGGUCUGUCAAGAGGUUGGCUAGGUUUGGAAGGUGCGGCUAACACCAAAGGCUCCCUCUCAGAGUGUGAGAGAUUGGAAGAGAUGGGAGAGCGAACAGGAAUGAAGAGCUUCUUAUGUUUAAGGCAAUCAGAAGUGAAAAGUCCAACUUUGGAAGAACGAAGAGACAGUUUUUAAAAGCCAAAGAGGAGCUAUGAGAAAAGACCACGCAAAAGCUCUAAUAACCCAUUUUACAUGUGACAACAGAAGGAUUUUUUUCCCUGUGCUUUACGAGGAACUCAGGCUUUCUAAAAGAUCUACCAACAUUACCAGGAUGUCUGGAAAAGUCAUUAUAUAUCCUGUGCCCUGACACAACCUAAAUGAGGAAAAUGCAGGGCCAAGGCAAACACUGCCAAGGUUGGAGCUCGGCUCCCAGAGUCGUAGAGUAGUAAAUCUCUUUUCUUUACUGUACAGGUCAGCCUAUAAUACUUUUUUGGGGUA